CGAGUCGUGCGUUCACGGAGUUUAACGGAGGGAGCCGCGACUGGAAGAGGCGCCGCAUCCGCGGCGGACGAGACAAGCCGGCGCCGCCCCGUCGAUCUGCGCCAGGCCACCGGCGCUGCUUCCUCCGUCCGCUCAAGCCGACGCGCUUCUGCCCCGACGCCCUGUCCGCGAGACGCCGCGGGCGCAGCAGCACCCCAUCGCGUCCACGCCACGCCACGGCUCCAGCACGCGCCACCACCCCGACGCAUCCACACUGAAGCCUGAUGAAGCUAACUUCGGCGGGAUCGAGCGCAAGCGGAACUGGAAGGAGUGAGUGCCCCUUUUGCCAUGUUCCAUUGGUCCGGAUUCAGAGCAAGCAGCCGGCGACAUUGGGCAAGUGGUUUCUCAAGUGCCCAUACAACAUCAAGGGUGAUCCCAGUACCUGUGGUUACAUUCGUCAAAUGUGAAAUUGGAAACACAAGAACAGGGAUUCAAGGCUAAGAUGGAAGAGGCAUCCUGUGAUUGUUGCUCUGAAUUGAAAGCUGAAUUGAUAGAGUUGAAGCAAACAGUUGAUAGUGUUGUAGCUGAAAUUUGGAAAAUGAAGGUGAAGCCUGCAGAGAGGAAUCCUGGGCAGAUUCAUGAGCCGAAGCCUGGGCCGAAGCAAAUUGUUAUCGAUUAUUCUAUUUUUGUGGGGUUUGUAGGUGUCCUCAUAGGUGUUGUGGUUGCCUGUAUGUGGAAGUGAACAGCUGUUGUAUGUAGCAACUUUGGAAUGUGGUGGUCGACCAAUGUGUUGUAAUGACAUCUACAUCCUAUGUAAUGAAGAUGUUUUAUGCAGAUCAGCCUGUGGCAUGAUUUUGACAGAA